CCGCACGCGCGCUACACUGACAGAGCCAGCGAGUACUCCCUUGGCCGGAAGGCCCGGGUAAUCUUGUUAAACUCUGUCGUGCUGGGGAUAGAGCAUUGCAAUUAUUGCUCUUCAACGAGGAAUCCCUAGUAAGCGCAAGUCAUCAGCUUGCGUUGAUUACGU
rnacentral:rRNA from 1 species